rfam:Lupinus angustifolius cultivar Tanjil contig_1835, whole genome shotgun sequence.
AGGUGUGAUCAUACCAACACUAAUGCACCGGAUCCCAUCAGAACUCUGUAGACAAGCGUGCUUGAGCGAGAGUAUUACUAGGAUGGGUGACCUCGUGGGAAGUCCUCGUGUUGCACCUC